GGCAAACUUGGCAUGUGAUACCUUUUCGGAAAGCCCAAAGAGAGCCCUCCGACGAAAGAAGCAAGACAAUGGAACAUUUCCAUUGACUUUUGGUCGACUCCAAAUUUUGACCUUUAAGUACUUUUUCGGGCACUUCCGUGAUUUGUGCUAUAUUACGGACCCAAAAUUACUUUUUCAAGCAUUGUUUUCGAAUAUUUUUCAUGCAUCAAAGCUCGUUAAGACUAGAUGGGGUAUCCCUACAUGGCGGGUGGGACCCACGGCGAACGGUUCAUCGAGACUUAAAAAAGAAUAUAUACGAUUGCAUUGCAUAUACUAACGGAUGCGAUCAUACCAGCACUAAUGCACCGGAUCCCAUCAGAACUCCGCAGCUAAGCGUGCUUGGGCGAGAGUAGUACUAGAAUGGGUGACCUCCCGGGAAGUCCUCGUGUUGCAUCCCUCUUUUAUGUUUAACCUUUUUU
rnacentral:rRNA from 1 species